CUGAUCCUAAGACUGUGUAAAGGUGUCCUAUAUUCUCCAAUCCUCUUAUGCAUUCCUAUGUGCUUGAUAGGCCGAGCUGAUUUCUGUUUCUUGCACCUAAGGAAUCCUAACUGAUACAAGUUCUACCCAUGAUUGCACAUUUAGCUUCUACUUCAGUCUCCUAAAGCCCCCAGGGACAAAACAAGAAGUCAGAUCACACUGCUGGAGAGACCACAUGGAGAAUAUUGAGAAUAUGUGGAGAGAGACAGAAGAAUCUAGCUGAGCCCAGCCUUCCAAUUGUCCACAGCAAGACAUAAUGAAUGGAAGUAAAACCACCUUGGAUCAGGUGAAAACUAGUGAGUCAGCACCCUGUGGAGCAAAAUAAUUGCCCAGCUGAGUAUGCCCAAAUUCCUGACUCACAGAAUGAUGAUAUAUACUAAAAGGGUUAUUGUUUUAAGUCAUUAAGUUUGGCAUAGUUUGAUAUAUGUAUAUUCUGCCUUGGUUUGCAUGUUGGUCUAUCUUUAUAAAGUAUGCAUGUCCUUUUUUGCAUAUGGAUCUCUGUCUGUAAUUAUGUUACAACGAGACUCUCUUUAUA
rnacentral:lncRNA from 10 species